AUGCCUUUCCUUUGGACCUUGGCACUUUUAAUUGUGGUUGUCUCAGAGGUGAGUCUUGGAUUGCCAAUUAGCCAGCCAGAAGCCAUUGUGUCUGUCACCCAAGGAGACCCUAUCAUUCUCAAAUGCAUCUACGAUACAACAGUUGACUAUCUGUUUUGGUACAUUCAGCAUCCUGGUUGUCCUCCUACAGUCUUUUGGAGGGAACUUGGAAGUGAAACUUCAAAUGAGGGGCACAUCCGAAAUUUCAGUGCCGCAAAGAAUAAAAGUGCGAAGACCUUCAACAUGAAGAAAUCUGUCAGCCAACUGAGCGAUUCCGCUGUCUAUUUCUGUGCUGGGAGAGACACAGUGAGAUGGGUCAAUAGAGAAGCCAAGCAAAAACAUGCAAAGGGGAAAGGGUGCAUCCACAGUGUUGAAUUCAUGCAGUUUGAGCAUUGGACUACAGCUUGGGAGAUCAGUGUUGGGAUCAUUAAUCCUUUUGAGUCAGGCAGCAAAAUAUCUUGGGCUGCUCUGUGGAGGAUGUCCUGCAUAAAGCUGACUUCCUUGAAGUCACUCUACAGAAAAAUUGAGAAAAACCACAAGUGGUUAAACAAAAACCAGAUGAUAGAAAGACAAAAUUUACAUAUCAGCUCUGACUCUAGUGUUGGUAACCACCUAGUGGAGAGAUCUCGAAAGCCAUACUACUAAAGAUUGUUUUAGAUCCAGUCUUGUUUCCAGCAGGUUCAGUCUUGCUAUCUACUUAUUCUUCACCAUGAUGUCUGAACUGACAUUGGUUCUGCUAUUGGUGAUCAUUUCAGGUGAGCAGCAUUUUUAUUAAAAACUUUUGGGUCUCCUUUGGAUAACUAGUCAUAGCUAUAAUCAGGUGGAACAAGU